CACGUAGGGGACGAGCGUUGUCCGGAUUCAUUGGGCGUAAAGCGCGCGUAGGCGGCCCGGUAAGUCGGAUGUGAAAACCCGGGGCUCAACCCCGGGCCUGCAUCCGAUACUUCCGAGCUUGAGGCAGGUAGGGGAGAUCGGAAUUCCUGGUGUAGCGGUGAAAUGCGCAGAUAUCAGGAGGAACACCGGUGGCGAAGGCGGCAUCCUGGACCGGCAUUGACGCUGAGGCGCGAAAGCCAGGGGAGCAAACGGG
rnacentral:rRNA from 1 species